rnacentral:rRNA from 1 species
CCUGGCCUUGACAUACUAAGAACUUCCAGAGAUGGAUUGGUGCCUUCGGGAACUUAGAUACAGGUGCUGCAUGGCUGUCGUCAGCUCGUGUCGUGAGAUGUUGGGUUAACGUCCGCAACGAGCGCAACCCUUUUCCUUAUUUGCCAGCGGGUAAUGCCGGGAACUUUAAGGAUACUGCCAGUGACAAACUGGAGGAAGGCGGGGACGACGUCAAGUCAUCAUGGCCCUUACGGCCAGGGCUACACACGUGCUACAAUGGUCGGUACAAAGGGUUGCUACCUCGCGAGAGGAUGCUAAUCUCAAAAAGCCGAUCGUAGUCCGGAUCGCAGUCUGCAACUCGACUGCGUGAAGUCGGAAUCGCUAGUAAUCGCGGAUCAGAAUGCCGCGGUGAAUACGUUCCCGGGCCUUGUACACACCGCCCGUCACACCAUGGGAGUUUGUUGCACCAGAAGUAGGUAGUCUAACCGCAAGGAGGACGCUUACCACGGUGUGGCCGAUGACUGGGGUGAAGUCGUAACAAGGUAGGCGUAGAUGA